rnacentral:lncRNA from 1 species
GUAACUGGACAAAUUUAUUUUCUGACAUGCUAUCUUCUUUGAUUGUCGUACUCCUCAUUUUAUGGUUACGUCACUUAUUUGGAUAAUGUUGAGCAUUGUACUUAAAUUCUCCACAAUGUAAGCACAAUCCUUCUUGAUGAAGAUGAGUCUUUUCUUGCUUAGUAAGAGGUUUGAAACAUACUGCAUCAAUUUGCAUAUCCUCUUCUUUCGAAUAUAUGUGUUGAAGAGAUGUUGGUAUUGCCAUUGAAUUAUAGUAACAUUGAGGUCCACUUGUACGGUUCUCAGAUCGGAAUUUAAAAAGGUGAU